GACGAACGCUGGCGGCGUGCCUAAUACAUGCAAGUUGAGCGAUGAAGAUUGGUGCUUGCACCAAUUUGAAGAGCAGCGAACGGGUGAGUAACGCGUGGGGAAUCUGCCUUUGAGCGGGGGACAACAUUUGGAAACGAAUGCUAAUACCGCAUAAUAACUUUAAACAUAAGUUUUAAGUUUGAAAGAUGCAAUUGCAUCACUCAAAGAUGAUCCCGCGUUGUAUUAGCUAGUUGGUGAGGUAAAGGCUCACCAAGGCGAUGAUACAUAGCCGGCCUGAGAGGGUGAUCGGCCACAUUGGGACUGAGACACGGCCCAAACUCCUACGGGAGGCAGCAGUAGGGAAUCUUCGGCAAUGGACGAAAGUCUGACCGAGCAACGCCGCGUGAGUGAAGAAGGUUUUCGGAUCGUAAAACUCUGUUGGUAGAGAAGAACGUUGGUGAGAGUGGAAAGCUCAUCAAGUGACGGUAACUACCCAGAAAGGGACGGCUAACUACGUG
rnacentral:rRNA from 1 species